GUCAAUACGCUAUCGGAUUACUGGGCGUAAGCGCGCGUAGGUGGUUCAGCAAGUUGGAUGUGAAAUCCCCGGGCUCAACCUGGGAACUGCAUCCAAAACUACUGAGCUAGAGUACGGUAGAGGGUGGUGGAAUUUCCUGUGUAGCGGUGAAAUGCGUAGAUAUAGGAAGGAACACCAGUGGCGAAGGCGACCACCUGGACUGAUACUGACACUGAGGUGCGAAAGCGUGGGGAGCAAACAGGAUUAGAUACCCCGGUAGUCCCA
rnacentral:rRNA from 1 species